UGAGGAACAUGACCUUCGGCGGGGGAUAGCCGGCCCAACGGCCGGGUAAUACCGCGUACGACCACAUGGGGACAUCCCUGAGUGGUGAAAGCAGCAAUGCGCCGAUGGAGUGCCUCGCGGCCUAUCAGCUAGUUGGUGAGGUAACGCUCACCAAGGCAAACGAUGCGUAGCCGACCUGAGAGGGUGAUCGGCCAACAGUUUGGGAACUGAGACACGGUCCAGACCUGUACCGGGAGG
rnacentral:rRNA from 1 species